rnacentral:rRNA from 1 species
AGCGAACGCUGGCGGCAGGCCUAACACAUGCAAGUCGAACGAACUCUUCGGAGUUAGUGGCGGACGGGUGAGUAACACGUGGGAACGUGCCUUUAGGUUCGGAGUAACUCAGGGAAACUUGUGCUAAUACCGAAUGUGCCCUUCGGGGGAAAGAUUUAUCGCCUUUAGAGCGGCCCGCGUCUGAUUAGCUUGUUGGUGGGGUAAUGGCCCACCAAGGCGACGAUCAGUAGCUGGUCUGAGAGGAUGACCAGCCACAUUGGGACUGAGACACGGCCCAAACUCCUACGGGAGGCAGCAGUGGGGAAUCUUGCGCAAUGGGCGAAAGCCUGACGCAGCCAUGCCGCGUGUAUGAUGAAGGUCUUAGGAUUGUAAAAUACUUUCACCGGUGAAGAUAAUGACUGUAGCCGGAGAAGAAGCCCCGGCUAACUUCGUGCCAGCCGCCGCCGUAACAC